rnacentral:rRNA from 1 species
GGCGAUCAGAUACCGCCCUAGUUCUGACCGUAAACGAUGCCAACUAGCGAUCCGCCAGUCGACUCAUCGCUCUGGUGGGGAGCUUCCCGGAAACGAAAGUCUUCCGGUUCCGGGGGAAGUAUGGUUGCAAAGCUGAAACUUAAAGGAAUUGACGGAAGGGCACCACCAGGAGUGGAGCCUGCGGCUUAAUUUGACUCAACACGGGGAAACUCACCCGGCACGGACACCGUAAGGAUUGACAGAUUGAUAGCUUUUUCAUGAUUCGGUGGAUGGUGGUGCAUGGCCGUUCUUAGUUCGUGGAGCGAUUUGUCUGGUUUAUUCCGAUAACGAGCGAGACUCUGGCCUACUAAAUAGUUGACGCAUUGCCACUGUGCGCACAACUUCUUAGAGGGAUUUUCGGUGUUUUCAACCGCACGAAAUUGAGCAAUAACAGGUCUGUGAUGCCCUUAGAUGUCCGGGGCUGCACGCGCGCUACACUGGCAAACGCAACGUGCCUGUCCUGCCCCGAAAGGAGCGGGUAAACCCCUGAAAUUUUGCCGUGAUUGGGAUCGGACAUUGCAACUAUUGUCCGUGAACGAGGAAUUCCUUGUAGGGGCGAGUCAUCAACUCGUCCCGAAUACGUCCCUGCCCUUUGUA